GAAAUUCCUCGGGAUAUUCCGAGGAUUUCAUUUUCCGUCGGAAUGUCCGUCAGAAUACCGUUGUUUUCUUGUAGUGUUCAUUUGUGUUUCAGACUUUUAUUUAGUAAGUGUUACUAUAGUAUUCUAUUUUUUAUUUGUGAUUGUGGAGAUUUAAGUUUAGAUUAUGUGUCUUACUCUAGUUUUUUUUAGUUUAGUUAUUUUCUGAUUUUUAAUAGUAAAAUAAAUAAUAAUUUGUAAAUAAAAUAAUAGAAAAUUAAUAAAAAAUAAUAAAAUAGUAAAAAUUUAUGUUUUUUUUAGUUGUGAAUAAAUAAAAUAUUUAAAAUCUAUUUUUAAUUUUUUUAUUUUUUCUUUAUUCAUCUCUAAUUUUAUUGACUAAUAAAAUAUAUUAUAAAACUUCACAUAAUAAUGGUUAGUGUGAAAAAAAUAAUAGUGCAUAAUUAGAAAGUACAAAACCAAAUUGCAAUAGUGUAAAAGAAGAAGGACCUAAAAUGUAAAAACAAAAAUACAUGUGGACACAUGUCAUCAAACCUCCUUGCCACUUGUCAUAAGAAGAAAAAAAACUAACUUUAUAUAUAUAGAUAUAGAAAUAAAUUAUAAAAUCAUUCAAUAUUAUUUUUUCAUUUAUAUAAAAUUAAGAAUGUUACUUGAUUAAUAUUUAUUUAUAUGUUUUCUGUUUUUUUCUUAUUUUUAACUUCUUAUUACAAGAUUUUUCAGAUAACAACAUAAUAUAUAUAGGAAUUAUCUUUUUAUUUUAAAAUGUAUUUUUAGAUUCUUGAUAAUUCUUAUUAUUAUUAUUAAUUUUAAUCACUAAUCGAAUAAAAAAUUACAUUUCGUUUUUAUUUUAUGGGUAUUAUACAUAUAUAUAUAUAUCUAUUCUAUUAAAAGUGAAGUACAUUUUCUACUUAACCCCGAAUUUUUUCCAAUAAUUACCAGCUUAUUCCACUGUUAUUAAACAUAUUCGUUUUAUACAUUUGCUAACCUAUUAUUUCGCUAAACUAUACCAUUAAGGACAUUUGUGUAAACCUACCAUUAAUCACAGCCAAGCCGGAUAUUGAAAUCGUCGUUGACCUUCUCAAUUUGUUGAAGCUCGAAAAGUCCGCCGUCGAGAAGCCGUUCAAUUCAACCAACAACAGCUCCGGAAACGGUUAUUUUAACCGCGAGGCUUUCCGGCGGAUUUGGAAUAUUCAGACGUGGAUCUCAUGUACGAGCUCCUCCACCGCCUUAAAUGUGUACAAAACCUGGAUAAACGCCUCAUAUUCAGAAACUAUGUGGUGGAUCUUAAAGUCCAAAUGUUACACUUUUGCUUGGGCAACAGGUGUUAGGAGAGGUAGCUCUGAUCUUCUGUGAGUUGAUGGUAGACCCUUUUACUUCUUAUGCCCUUUGGAAGGUUAUGCAAAAGUCUAGCUCUAAACAGAUCACUCGAAUGAUUACAAUAAUCUAUACUUAUUUUUGAAUGUUUUUUUGCAACUUGCUUUCAUUAUUUUUUUAUGUUUCUAUCUAAAUAAUAUAUUUGUUUAAAAAAAUCUCAUUAUAAAAUUUGAACUUUAUAUUCAA